rnacentral:lncRNA from 1 species
CCAGCCUGGCCAACAUGGCAAAAUCCCAUCUCUACUAAAGGGAGAAUGGGAAAUGGAAAUCUGGACCUUUCUAGCCCAGAAGAGAGUAGAAGGACAAAGAGAAGCUGAAGGCAGGCAGGUCACACUGAUUCGUAACAUCUGUGUGUCAUGGUUUCCCACCUACCAGCUAUGCUGCAGAGCAGGACAUCCAAAAUGUACAUUUUCCAAGAUCCUGGUCAGAUUCUACUCAGAAGGAGCACUCACAUGUGACUUGGAAGGCAGAAGAGAAGCGGUCAUCACAGUGGUGCUCCUCUGGCAGUGAGGGGAACAUGUGGGCUUUGGCAGAUGUGCGAUUUUGGGUGAGCCGCAAGAGUUCUGGAGGCAGCUGCAUCUGCUGGAGACCUUACAGCCUGCUGCCUCUCUCAAAGCUAAGUCAUCUCCUGUAUUAAAUUCCUUCCUUCUUGAAAUGCCUGGAGUUGUUUCCAUUUCUUUGAACAUCCCUGAUGCAAUGGAACUUAACAGUUCAUCUUAUUCUAUGGUGGAACAGAGAACAUAUUUUUAGGAAAUGUUAGCAAGAGAUGAGCUUUUAUAAAUCCCUCCCCUCCUUAACCCACCAGCAAAUCCUUUUGCCUUGUCUUACAAGUCAGCUUGCAUAGUCACUUCCUAAUCCUGUGAUGAUCACUCCAGGGCAAACACCCCUAGCUCCCAUCCAGUCCCCCUCAUCUAACAUAAGACGUAGACAGAGACUCAGCACUACAGCUUCUUCUGGGUCCCCCGCAUUGCUCUCAUGGUCAAAGGUCUUCUGUGGCUAUAUCCUCCCACCUCAGAGCUUAAACGCUCUUACCAUCCAGUCCCUCCAGAGCCUGGCUGUCCCCAGCCACCUUUACAGCACUUCCCUAGCCCAUCACAUCUCUAGCCAGGCUGUUCUCCCUCCUUUCACCAGCACACCACAUGCAUCAUGCCUUGCUUCCUUCGUUCAAGCUUUCCCUCCCCGAGAAUGCCCAACCACAUUUGCAGAGACAGCUCAAGUCUUAGCUCCUCCAUGAAGACUUCUCUAACCACACAAAAUUCCAUCAAUACCUUGCUCCUCAGAACUGAAAUAUUUGAGCCAAGGAGAUUGCCUACAAAGUCCAGCUCAAAUUGUUGACCCAGAGACUUGGGAGUUAAAUGCAUGGCUAGCUUUAAACUACCAUCAGCCCUCUGUAUCCAUAGGUUCCACACCUGUGGAUUCAACC